UGGCUCUAACCGGCCAGAUCUCUGAAUAUGGAUUCAUGCGCAGGAGUCAAAUUUGUACAUGAAUUUAAUAUCAGAGUCCUUUCCAAGAAAAACAAAUAUUCAGCAAAUCUAGACAUUAGACUCAUGUUUAAUACAUAAAGACAAUCGCAGUGCAACAUCAAACAAGGAGACACUGGCAGACUAUACAGCGAACUAAAUAAAUCACGGAGGAAUUUCAGACGAACAACUCAUAAACUUGAGGAAGCUGUCGUUGGGCUGCGCGAAGAAGCAUAUUCAGCGUGGAUGAGGCACACGCUUGUGAGUCUGAGACUGGAUGAAGGAUCAUUAGACAGCUGAGUUCGAUAGGUGUCUGGGUCAUAAGGUGGAAGAUGUAGGAGCGAGGAAACGAUUUCGCUGCGAUUGGAGAUGCAGAUCCACCGGUCAGUGUGGUUUGGCCUGUUAAACGGAUAGUU